AUUGAACGCUGGCGGCAGGCCUAACACAUGCAAGUCGAACGAACCCUUCGGGGUUAGUGGCGGACGGGUGAGUAACACGUGGGAACGUGCCUUUAGGUUCGGAAUAACUCAGGGAAACUUGUGCUAAUACCGAAUGUGCCCUUCGGGGGAAAGAUUUAUCGCCUUUAGAGCGGCCCGCGUCUGAGUAGCUAGUUGGUGAGGUAAUGGCUCACCAAGGCUACGAUAAGUAGCUGGUCUGGGAGGAUGACCAGCCACAUUGGGACUGAGACACGGCCCAAACUCCUACGGGAGGCAGCAGUGGGGAAUCUUGCGCAAUGGGCGAAAGCCUGACGCAGCCAUGCCGCGUGGAUGAUGAAGGUCUUAGGAUUGUAAAAUCCUUUCACCGGUGAAGAUAAUGACUGUAGCCGGAGAAGAAGCCCCGGCUAACUUCGUGCCAGCCGCCGCGGUAA
rnacentral:rRNA from 1 species